UGGGGAAUAUUGGACAAUGGGCGAAAGCCUGAUCCAGCAAUGCCGCGUGAGUGAUGAAGGCCUUAGGGUUGUAAAGCUCUUUUACCCGGGAUGAUAAUGACAGUACCGGGAGAAUAAGCUCCGGCUAACUCCGUGCCAGCAGCCGCGGUCAUACGUAGGGUGCAAGCAUUAUCCGGAGUGACUGGGCGUAAAGAGUUGCGUAGGUGGUUUGUUAAGUGAAUAGUGAAAUCUGGGGGCUCAACCUCACAGACUAUUAUUCAAACUGGCAAACUCGAGAAUGGUAGAGGUAACUGGAAUUUCUAGUGUAGGAGUGAAAUCCGUAGAUAUUAGAAGGAACACCAAUGGCGUAGGCAGGUUACUGGACCAUUUCUGACACUGAGGCACGAAAGCGUGGGGAGCGAA
rnacentral:rRNA from 1 species